GGUCAGUCCAGCUGGCAUUGUACUGGGAGUUUCUGACAGCCACGCGCCCCCUGGAGGCGGCUCUGGUUCCCUGCGCUCCUUCCUGCGCUUGUUGGAUGCGCUGGCACUCUUUCAGGUUUUGAGCCCGCACUUCUGCGCUCAUGAUCCGCUCCACCACGCGGUUCGGGAACCAGCCGCGCUCUCCAUCGUGAAGCCUCUCACCCAGUAUCCAGCCUGAGGAGGAGAGAUGAAGGUGUGUGUUCAGAGACAAAGAAACACAGAGAGAAGAAAACACAGGAAGGAUGUGCCACAAAAAUAGUAAAAUGAAC
rnacentral:lncRNA from 1 species